rnacentral:rRNA from 1 species
UACGAAGGGGGCUAGCGUUGCUCGGAAUCACUGGGCGUAAAGCGCACGUAGGCGGCUUCUUAAGUCAGGGGUGAAAUCCUGGAGCUCAACUCCAGAACUGCCUUUGAUACUGAGAAGCUUGAGUUCGGGAGAGGUGAGUGGAACUGCGAGUGUAGAGGUGAAAUUCGUAGAUAUUCGCAAGAACACCCGUGGCGAAGGCGGCUCUCUGGGACGGUACUGACGCUGAGACGCGAAAGCGUGGGGAGCAAACAGG